rnacentral:rRNA from 1 species
AUUGAACGCUGGCGGCAGGCCUAACACAUGCAAGUCGAGCGGAUGACGGGAGCUUGCUCCUUGAUUCAGCGGCGGACGGGUGAGUAAUGCCUAGGAAUCUGCCUGGUAGUGGGGGACAACGUUUCGAAAGGAACGCUAAUACCGCAUACGUCCUACGGGAGAAAGCAGGGGACCUUCGGGCCUUGCGCUAUCAGAUGAGCCUAGGUCGGAUUAGCUAGUUGGUGGGGUAAUGGCUCACCAAGGCGACGAUCCGUAACUGGUCUGAGAGGAUGAUCAGUCACACUGGAACUGAGACACGGUCCAGACUCCUACGGGAGGCAGCAGUGGGGAAUAUUGGACAAUGGGCGAAAGCCUGAUCCAGCCAUGCCGCGUGUGUGAAGAAGGUCUUCGGAUUGUAAAGCACUUUAAGUUGGGAGGAAGGGCAGUAAGCUAAUAUCUUGUUGUUUUGACGUUACCGACAGAAUAAGCACCGGCUACCUCUGUGCCAGCCGCCGCGGUAA